CCGCCCCCAAGCUGCAUUCACCCCUCCCGUCGGCGCGGUCAGCGGGUCGCUGACCACCUUCUUGUCCAGCUACGGGGAUGGUGACGUCACCCUGACCAACUCGACGCGCAGCACGCGCAGCCGCGUGAGCGUCGGCAUCGAAGUGAUUCAUGUCCGGGGCAGCAGCUUCCCCCAGCCCAGCAGCCGGCCCCCGACGCUCAAGGAGACCAAGGACCCUAAAAAAACUGACAGUGACAGCGACCAGCUCACGGACCUUUACAGCCCGGAGGCGUAGCGGUAGCUAUCAGUGUAUCUCUUUCCUUGCUGACCUUGCACAGGAUGUGACGUUUUAAUUUUAUUUUAAGAAUAACUCCCUUAGCUGAGUGUUUUCAGUCUCAAUGUAUCAUAUUUUUUAAAAUAAUUUCAUUAGUUAAGUUAAUGAACCCUUUUACCUUUUUCUGUGAUUUCUGUGAUUCUCAGUGUGACAUAUUUUCAGAAUAAUUUUCUAAACAAGGCUUAGCCCAGUGUUUUAGUCUUCAGUGUGCCAUAUGCCAUAUAGUUUAAGGAUUUAAGUCAACCCUUAGACCCGUUUCUGUGAUUUUCGUCUCAAUGUGAAAUACUUUUUCAGAAUAUAAUUUAUUA